rnacentral:rRNA from 1 species
AGGAUGAACGACUGGCGGGUCGUGCUUAACAACAUGCAAGUACGAACGAACUCUUCGGAGUGAGUGGCGGACGGGUGAGUAACGCGUGAGAAUCUGGCUGUGGGUCGGGGACAACCACUGGAAACGGUGGCUAAUACCGGAUGAGCCGAAAGGUAAAAGAUUUAUUGCCCACAGAUGAGCUCGCGUCUGAUUAGCUAGUUGGUAAGGUAAAAGCGUACCAAGGCGACGAUCAGUAGCUGGUCUGAGAGGAUGAGCAG